AAAAAAUGUUCCUUCUUCAGAAGUUCCAACUAGGCAUGCUAACGUUAGUCAUUUGCUAGUUAUCAUACAGUAGACCUAUAUUAAUAAUUAUAUAGUUAAUAUAAGUAGACAUACAAUCAUAAUUGACAGUAACAGAUAUAAAGCACCCACAAGCUACCGGUGGCUGAAAACACAAUCAUCGCGGGUUGAACGAGUGACAAAUUUCCGGGCAAGGGCGGCCCAUUUAAAAACGAUUCCUUGCUCCCUCGCCCUGCAAGUGUAUACUCGUCAGACAUCAUGAUACUUCAUCAGAACUUAAUUUGAGGGCUGAGGGUCCUACGUGUGUCUUUUAAGUGUUUGGACUGCAGCCAAAAACUCCUCCGUAGUGACCCGUGAAUGAAUUCGGUCACAUGACAGCUCGAUCAGCUGUUCGAUUUCCCUUACCCGCAUGUCAACUGAGCCAGGAUCACAGUCAAACGGAUUGGGAAGUAGGUCCCAAAGUGCUCUUCCAAGCGUUGGAGAAUAGUACACACAUCCCAGCUGCACUAGAGUAAGUCGAGACUCCACAUAACAAAAAGAAACACUAGAACAGACCAGUGUCUGCGGGACGAGAAGUCUUACCAGCUAAUUCGAGUGAGCAAGUGGGCGGCUGCGCUGAUGAUGAACUGGGACUGUGGAGCUGAUUGGUGAUCUGAGAGCAGAGGACUGAGAGAGGCAUUGGUAUAACGCAAGUCUAGGAGCUUUAGCUCCGCCAAGUAAGGGACGUGAUUCUUCCUGUGUUACAGUACUUUCUCUCUCUGGGCUGUUUCGCCACGCCACUGAAAAUCACUAUUGUCGGCAGGUUUCCCUGCCGUCUGUCUUCUCGUUCAGCACCGGAGGCGGGGCCAUCGGUGACAUCACCAAGCUGUCUCACUGUGCGGAUCUGGAUAUCGCUAGACGGACACGUUUACUAUUUUAUUGUUGUGGGGAUAUGGUUCUCAUCGGGCCCUAGAAAUCCAGAACCUAUCCCCACUCUGUAUAUGUUGUCUUGUCUGUCUUUCCCUCCUCCCUAUUUUGUCAUUUAGAGGGGUUGGCAGAGUAGAGUAGGACCAGGGUUGAUCCCAUAUUGUGUGCAGCACCAGAGUGAGAUUGUAGUGCCUUUCACCAUAUUGUUUGCCGUGCCUUCCCUUAGAAUAACUACCUUGUUGUAGUGCCAUAUCAGAAUAAUUCAGUGUGUAUUGGAGUGAGAUUUGUUGUGCCUUUCACCAUAUUGUUGCAGUGCCAUAUCAGAAUAAUGCAGUGUAUCACUUUUACAUGCCUGAUAUUUAUCUGAGGGAGUACGGGGAGGCUCUAUUGUGUCGACACAGUCCGGGAAAUCGUGGGUGCUUUGGGAGGUGGGGAAACAGGGUACAAUCCAUGUUAACCUAUCAAUUGAAAAUAAAAAAUGUACCUUGAGC
rnacentral:lncRNA from 1 species